GCCUUACACAUGCAAGUCGAACGGCAGCACGGACUUCGGUCUGGUGGCGAGUGGCGAACGGGUGAGUAAUGUAUCGGAACGUGCCUAGUAGCGGGGGAUAACUACGCGAAAGCGUAGCUAAUACCGCAUACGCCCUACGGGGGAAAGCAGGGGAUCGCAAGACCUUGCACUAUUAGAGCGGCCGAUAUCGGAUUAGCUAGUUGGUGGGGUAACGGCUCACCAAGGCGACGAUCCGUAGCUGGUUUGAGAGGACGACCAGCCACACUGGGACUGAGACACGGCCCAGACUACCUACGGGAGGCAGCAGUGGGGAAUUUUGGACAAUGGGGGAAACCCUGAUCCAGCCAUCCCGCGUGUGCGAUGAAGGCCUUCGGGUUGUAAAGCACUUUUGGCAGGAAAGAAACGUCAUGGGCUAAUACCCCGUGAAACUGACGGUACCUGCAGAAUAAGCACCGGCUAACUACGUGCCAGCAGCCGCGGUAAUACGUAGGGUGCAAGCGUUAAUCGGAAUUACUGGGCGUAAAGCGUGCGCAGGCGGUUCGGAAAGAAAGAUGUGAAAUCCCAGAGCUUAACUUUGGAACUGCAUUUUUAACUACCGAGCUAGAGUGUGUCAGAGGGAGGUGGAAUUCCGCGUGUAGCAGUGAAAUGCGUAGAUAUGCGGAGGAACACCGAUGGCGAAGGCAGCCUCCUGGGAUAACACUGACGCUCAUGCACGAAAGCGUGGGGAGCAAACAGGAUUAGAUACCCUGGUAGUCCACGCCCUAAACGAUGUCAACUAGCUGUUGGGGCCUUCGGGCCUUGGUAGCGCAGCUAACGCGUGAAGUUGACCGCCUGGGGAGUACGGUCGCAAGAUUAAAACUCAAAGGAAUUGACGGGGACCCGCACAAGCGGUGGAUGAUGUGGAUUAAUUCGAUGCAACGCGAAAAACCUUACCUACCCUUGACAUGUCUGGAAUUCCGAAGAGAUUUGGAAGUGCUCGCAAGAGAACCGGAACACAGGUGCUGCAUGGCUGUCGUCAGCUCGUGUCGUGAGAUGUUGGGUUAAGUCCCGCAACGAGCGCAACCCUUGUCAUUAGUUGCUACGAAAGGGCACUCUAAUGAGACUGCCGGUGACAAACCGGAGGAAGGUGGGGAUGACGUCAAGUCCUCAUGGCCCUUAUGGGUAGGGCUUCACACGUCAUACAAUGGUCGGGACAGAGGGUCGCCAACCCGCGAGGGGGAGCCAAUCCCAGAAACCCGAUCGUAGUCCGGAUCGCAGUCUGCAACUCGACUGCGUGAAGUCGGAAUCGCUAGUAAUCGCGGAUCAGCAUGUCGCNGUGAAUACGUUCCNGGGUCUNGUACACACCGCCCCGUCACANCAUGGGAGUGGGUUUUACCAGAAGUAGUUAGCCUAACCGUCAAGGGGGGCGAUUACCACGGUAG
rnacentral:rRNA from 1 species